AUGGGGAGCAAGGGGCGCAUGCCUCCUCCUUACCACCACCGGCCGCUCCCAGGUCCCGGCUCUGGCCCGCCGCAUGGCAUGAUGCACCAUGAUCCGUACGGCCCGAGCAUGCACCAACCGCCAGGGCCGGGGCCAUACCCCUACGAUAUGUUGCCGCCGCCUGAGAUCCUGGAGCAGAAGCUCGCGGCGCAGUGUGGAGAGAUACAGAAGCUGGCGGUGGAGAACGAACGGCUCGCCGCGAGCCAUGCGUCUCUGAGGAAAGAGCUCGCUGCCGCGCAGCAGGAGCUGCAGAGGAUACAGGCGCAGGGGGAGGCGGCGAAGGCCGCCCAGGAGCAGGAGAUGAGGGGGCUCCUUGAUAAGGCUGCCAAGAUGGAGGCCGAUUUGAAGUCCUACGAGUCUGUCAAGGCGGACCUGCAGCAGGUGCACGCCGAGGCGCAGAACCUGGCGGCGGCAAGGCAGCAUUUGUUGGCGGAUGCGCAGAAGCUGAACAAAGACCUGCAGAGGAACUUUGGGGAGGCGCAGCAGCUGCCAGCACUCACGGCUGAUCUUGAUGCUGCUAGACAGGAAUAUCAGCACCUCAGGGCCGCAUAUGAGUAUGAAAGGAAACUGAAGGUGGACCACUCCGAGUCGCUGCAGGGAAUGAAGAAAAAUUAUGACUCCAUGGUUACAGAGUUAGAGAAGCUUCGUGCUGAGUUGACAAACACAACUAAUAUUGACAGAAGUGGUACUUUGUACAAUCCUAAUUUUGCUCAGAAGGAUGGCGGUACAUCUAGCCACCAUUCUGCUUAUGAUGGUGGCUAUGGGGUUGCACAGGCUAGGACGCCCCCUGGUAUGCCAGACCCUUUAAGCGGAAGCCCAGCUGGAACUGCUCCUCGUUCUGGAUAUGAUCCAUCAAGAGGGAAUUCAUAUGAGACUUCUCGUCUUGCUAGAGUCCAUGAUGCAUCAAGGGGUGCUACUGGUUACGACUCUCUGAAAGUUGCUGGAUAUGAUACUUCUAGAAUGCCUGCACUUGGAGCUCAGGCAGCGGCUCCAACUGCUCAUGGGAGUAGUGCUGGUUACUAUGGAUCAAGUCAGGUCACACCACCUUCGCAUGCACGGGCACCAGGUGCACCCACCUAUGGAUCUGCACAGGUGCCACCAUCAUAUGCUUCUGGGCUAGUCCCAUCUUCAUCAUACGGCGCAACAACAGCUCAGGGACUACCAUCAUAUGGACAAACACAGGCUCCAUCUUAUGCACACACACAGAUGCCACCAUCCUAUGGACUAGCACAGGCAUCAUCACAUUUUGCCCCAACCCAGGGGGGGUCACCGUACGGGUUGUCUGCACAGCCUCAGGGCUAUGGAUCCGCGCAAGCAGCACCUAACAUUGGUGGUGCUUAUCAAGCUCCACAUGGACGCAGAUAA
rnacentral:rRNA from 1 species